AUGGAUCCGUCGGGCGCGUUCGCGCGGAGCUCCAGCAAUGUCUCGCUGGCGUCGCUUGUGAGGAGCGGGAGCGGCGGCAGCAGCGGGAGUAGUGGGAGCAGCCGCGGGAGGGGCGGGAGCCGGAGGAUGGUGCGCCGGGUGCUCCGCGGCGUCAUCACCUUCAUCUUCGCCAUCGCCGGGCUGUUCCUGGGAGCCGUCACCGGCGGGCUGAUCGGCCUGGCCACGGAGAGCGGCCUCUUCCGCGGCACCGGAAUCGGCGCCAUCACCGGCGCGCUCGUGUCCAUCGAGGUCGUCGACUCCUCCAUCCGCCUCUGGCGCUCCCGCCGGUCCGGGAUCUGGAGCAUCUUGUACGUGCUUAAUGUGAUCUACAGCCUCCUGACGGGCCGGCUCGUCCGUGAGAAGGUUGAUCCGGCAGUGCAGCGAGUGGUCCGCAGCCAGAUGAAUGCAGUGGACUCAUCGCAGUUCAGGGAGGCCCCUGACCUCUUCGAGAUCGAGGGAACCAACGGCAUGCCGAGGGCGUCCAUCGACAAACUGCCCGAGGGCACUAUCACCGAGGAGUAUAACCGGAAUGCCGUCGGUGACCUCUCCGGGUGCUCAGUAUGCCUGCAGGAUUUCCAGAUUGGGGAGAAGGUGCGGAGCUUGCCCGAUUGCCUGCACGUGUUCCACGUGCCGUGCAUCGACGGCUGGCUGAUCAAGCACGGAUCAUGCCCACUCUGCAGGAGGAAGCUCUAG
rnacentral:rRNA from 1 species